rnacentral:rRNA from 1 species
ACUCAAAUGAAUUGACGGGGAUCUACACAAGUGGUGGAGCAUGUGGUUUAAUGCGAUAAUACACGCGAAAUCUUACCAGUUUUUGAAUACAAUCCAAAUUUAAAAGAAGUUUUAAAUUUCUAAAAGUAAUAAUUUUUAUAAGGAUUAUACAGGUGCUGCAUGGCUGUCGUCAGCUCGUGCCGUGAGGUGUUUGGUUAAGUCCCUGAAACGAGCGCAACUCUUUUUUUAUGUUAUUAUGUAAUCAUAACUGAUUAAUAACUUUACAUAAGAGAAUGCCGGUAAUAAGCCGUAUGAAGUGAGAACGACGUCAAGCCCUUAUGGCCCUUAUAAACUGGGCUACACACGUGCUACAAUGAUAACAACAAAGAGAUAUACGACAGAGCGAUCUUGAGUAAACUCAAAAAAACUAUCGUGUUCAGAUUAUAGACUGCAAUUUGUCUAUAUGAAGGCGGAAUCACAAGUAAUCGUAAAUCAUCAAGUUACGGUGAAUUUGUACCUGGAUCUUGCACACACCGCCCGU